UUCAUUUUGUAAACAUAGAGGCAGAGCUUCGCUGUGAAAGUACCCAGAGCAAAUCAUUAUCCUACGCCUAUAACUUCCAGGUUAGGACUAGUUCCUGUCCUUUAUCGGAAUCUCUCGAUUGGAAACUUAUUGCAUUGAAGCACAAAUGCAGAUGGCUAGAGGAUUAUAAUUAUAUCUUCCUUCUCAUUGCUGAGUUGCUGUAGAAAAGCAGGAUUUCAAUCUUUAAGACUUUUUAGAUUUUAGCUACGGAGAUGAUUUCAGAAGAGGAUACAGUUGAGAAGAUCCUAAAACUUGGCCAAGGAAAUGAAAAAGUGGUGCAGAUAGGGAUAUAGUCAAGGCUUGUAUCAAAUUAUUUAUUUUUUUUCAAGGGCACAUCCUAAAUUUGGGUUGCUUUGAGUCAAGCUCGCUCAUGUUUUUAGUGAUCAUAAAAUAUUCUGGGAAUUCUUCGGAUGGAAAUAUCUCAGUUUGGUGGUUGGGAGACGACUAAGAUUGAUCAAGCACACCCUGGGGCCUGUGGGUGCAACUUCAGUUUCUUGGGCACCAGUGACAGCUCCUGGAGCUCUAGUAAGAUCUGGUUUACUUGUUCCUGUUCAGAAGCUUGUUUCUGGUGGUUGUGAUAAUACUGUGAAGGUUUGGAAACUUUACAAUGGAACAUGGAAGAUGGAUUGCUUCCUGGCUCUUCAGAUGGGUAAGGAUUGGGUGAAGGAUGUGUCUUGGGUGGGUAUCAAAUCUAGGACUUCCAAAAUCAACUGUUGCAAGUGCUUCGGCAGGAUGGAACUUUUACUGUACGGACUGUCGCAGAUCUGUGGGAAGGCAAAGUUUUGAAGGAUUUUAAUACUCCUGUUCAGAGAAUUUCGUGAUCUCUUACUGGUAAUACUUGGAUGUGGCUGAUGGUACAAUACAACACUGUUACAUUCUCGAAAGAAGCAGUUGUUGGAGAAUGGCAGCAGAUGGUGCUCCCUUUCUGCGGUAUAGGUUGAGGAACCAUGAUUUCAUGCCCUUGUGGAUAAUAGGCAUUCUGAGGAUUGAAGUGAUGAACUAUUUAGUAAUCCGAAAAAUGAACUGGCAUGAAAUUGAUGACAGAUGGUGCUCCCUUUCCGCAGUGUAGGUUGAGGAACCAUGAUUCCAUGCCCUUGUGGAUAAUAGGCAUUCUGAGGAUUGAAGGAUUAGAGUUAUGUCUUCCUUCUCAUUGCUAAGUUGUUGUAGAAAAGCAAGUUUUCAGGCUUGCGACUUUUCAAUGGUCUCAGAAGAGGAUACAGAGCCUAAAACUUGGCCUUGGAAAUGAAAAACUGGUGGAGAAUGGGAUAUGGUCAAGCAAUACAUCUUAUCAAAUUAUUUAAUUUUUAAUUUUUGCCUUUUCUUUUCAAGGGCACAUCCUAAUAUUGUGUCAUCUUGUUCUUAUGAUGGGAAAGUGGUUAUCUGGGGUGAGGUAUGUGUCUUGGGUACCAAAUCUAGGGAUUCCAGAAUCAACUGUUGCAAGUGCUUCCACAGGAUGGAACUGUUAUUAUAUGGACUGUCGCAAAAGAAGGUGAUCUGUGGGAAGCCAAAGUUUUGAAGGAUUUUAAUACGUCUCUUACUGGUAAUAUUCGGAUGUGGCUGAUGGUAACAACAAUGUUACAUUCUCGAAAGAAGCAGUUGGUGGAGAAUGGCAGCAGGAUUGAAAGUUUUAUCGUCUCCUCAUUCCUGAGUUGUGGCAUUGGUUUUCGAAAGGUAGGAGGAUCCGAAUCUCAAAACUUAUAAGAUUGUAGUAAAGCCUAAAACUCCGAAAAAAGGAAAUGAGAAAGUAGUGCAGAUAGGGAUAUGGUCAAGGCAUACAUUGUAUCAGAUGAAGGAACAAGUAUAGAGAAUUUGCCGUAAGUUUUGUGUUGCAUAUACUUCUUGUUUUUGUAUAAUUGAUAAUUAUAACAUAGUUUUAAGCAUUUAA